GCCAGAGUGCUCUGUUCCCUCUGAUUUCAUGGUGCUGCUUGCUGAGUCUGGAGCUGGAAAACCAAAUUCAGCACAGUCUCUCUGCUACCUUGGGAUGAACAUAUAGAAGAAGGAAGAGAACCCUCCUUACCAGGAGGCCAUAGAGGUGAGCUAAAGGAGAGGAAUUAAAGACACAGAGGCUACAUGCAUACCUCGUUAUUCGAGUCAAUCGGCAGAACACUAACUUGCAAGACACUGAGUCAGCCCUUAGCCAUCUGGACACCAGCAACCAGGCUGCAAUUUUGGACUGCAGUUUUCUGUCAGAUGACAUACGAAUCACCCAUAAGACCAGGUUUGAGAUAACCAUCACGGAACAAACCAGACCCCAGGAAGCGUUCUCCCAGACGAGUGGCAUGACUAACCACCCCCUUUCCUAUGUUCUG